ensembl:lncRNA
GAAAAAGUCGAGGGCUGAAGCUCACAAGAAGUGCAGUAACUAAACUAUAUUGACCACUGUUGACAUCUGGUAGAUGAUGAAAGAGGUGCAUGAGGAAAUAACAGAUUUAUUAUGAGGGAUAAUGUACAGUGAUGUACAGCUGUGGCAUGAUCUGACUAAUAAAUCUUGGUAUCAGCGGACAAAUACGGGUUCCUCAUCCUUCAGCUGCCAAUCAGAGGGAAGACGUCUGUUGCGUCCAGCUGUGGCAGGAACAUCUGGUGCGAAUGGCAAACCAUGCUGCUUCCAGCGAUUGAGAAUACACACAAACACACACAAAC